UACAGAGGUCUCAAGCGUUGUUCGGAUUCAUUGGGCGUAAAGGGUGCGUAGGCGGCCACCGCAAGUCGGUUGUGAAAUCUCUGGGCUUAACCCAGAAAGGUCAACCGAUACUGCGGGGCUAGAGUGCAGAAGGGGCAACUGGAAUUCUCGGUGUAGCGGUGAAAUGCGUAGAUAUCAAGAGGAACACCUGCGGCGAAGGCGGGUUGCUGGGCCGACACUGACGCUGAGGCGCGAAAGCUAGGGGAGCGAACGGG
rnacentral:rRNA from 1 species